AACGAACGCUGGCGGCAUGCCUAACACAUGCAAGUCGAACGAGACCUCCGGGCCUAGUGGCGCACGGGUGCGUAACGCGUGGGAACCUGCCCUUAGGUUCGGAAUAACUCCCCGUAAGGGGAGCUAAUACCGGUUAAUGUAUUCGGACCAAAGAUUUAUCGCUUUUGGAUGGGCGCUGGUUGGUUUGGGUGGUUGGUAGGGUAAUAGCCUAUCAAGGCGACGAUGCAUAGCUGGUCGGGGAGGAUGAUCAGCCACACUGGGGCUGAGGCACGGCCCAGACUCCUAGGGAAGGCAGCGGUGGGGUGUAUUAGAGGAUGAGCGAAAGCCUGGUCCAGCAGUGCCGCGUGAGUGAUGAAGGCCUUAGGGUUGUAAAGCUCUUUUACCCGGGAUGAUAAUGACAGUACCGGGAGAAUAAGCUCCGGCUAACUCCGUG
rnacentral:rRNA from 1 species